AGUUCGAUUCUGGCUCAGAUUGAACGCUGGCGGGAUGCUUUACACAUGCAAGUCGAACGGCAGCACGGACUUCGGUCUGGUGGCGAGUGGCGAACGGGUGAGUAAUGUAUCGGAACGUGCCUAGUAGCGAGAUAACUACGCGAAAGCGUAGCUAAUACCACAUACGCCCUUCGGGGGAAAGCGGGGGACCUUCGGGCCUCGCACUAUUAGAGCGGCCGAUAUCGGAUUAGCUAGUUGGUGGGAGUAACGGCUCACCAAGGCGACGAUCCGUAGCUGGUUUGAGAGGACGACCAGCCACACUGGGACUGAGACACGGCCCAGACUCCUACGGGAGGCAGCAGUGGGGUACACGGACAAUGGGGGGAAACCCUGAUCCAGCCAUCCCGCGUGUGCGAUGAAGGCCUUCGGGUUGUAAAGCACUUUUGGCAGGAAAGAAACGGCACGGGAUAAUACCCGUGCAACUGACUGAUACCACCAGAAUAAGCACCGGCUAACUACGUGCCAGCAGCCGCGGUAAUACGUAGGGUGCAAGCGUUAAUCAGAUUACUGGGCGUAAAGCGUGCGCAGGCGGUUCGGAAGAAGGUCUUGAAAUCCCAGAGCUUAACUUUGGAACUGCAUUUUAACUACCGAGCUAGAGUGUGUCAGAGGAGGUGGAAUUCCGCGUGUAGCAGUGAAAUGCGUAGAUAUGCGGAGGAACACCGAUGGCGAAGGCAGCCUCCUGGGAUAACACUGACGCUCAUGCACGAAAGCGUGGGGAGCAAACAGGAUUAGAUACCUGGUAGUCCACGCCCUAAACGAUGUCAACUAGCUGUUGGGGCCUUCGGGCCUUGGUAGCGCAGCUAACGCGUGAAGUUGACCGCCUGGGAAGUACGGUCGCAAGAUUAAAACUCAAGGGAUCAGCGGGGACCGCACAAGCGGUGGAUGAUGUGGAUUAAUUCGAUGCAACGCGAAAAAGCCUUACCUACCCUUGACAUGUCUGGAAUCCCGAAGCGAUUUGGGAGUGCUCGCAAGAGAACCGGAACACAGGUGCUGCAUGGCUGUCGUCAGCUCGUGUCGUGAGAUGUUGGGUUAAGUCCCAUAACGAGCGCAACCCUUGUGUGGUUCUUUACGAAAGGGCACUCUAAUGAGACUGCCGGUGACAAACCGGAGGAAAGUGGGGAUCAGUCCUCAUAGUGCUAUGGGUAGGGCUUCACACGUCAUACAAUGGUCGGGACAGAGGGUCGCCAACCCGCGAGGGGGAGCCAAUCCAGAAACCCGAUCGUAGUCCGGAUCACACACACACACACACACCUGCGCAGUCUGCAACUCGACUGCGUGAAGUCGGAAUCGCUAGUAAUCGCGGAUCAGCAUGUCGCGGUGAAUACGUUCCCGGGUCUUACCCCACACCGCCCGUCACACCAUGGGAGUGGGUUUACCAGAAGUAGUUAGCCUAACCGUAAGGAGGGCGAUUACCACGGUAGGAUUCAUGACUGGGGUGAAGUCGUAACAAAGGUAG
rnacentral:rRNA from 1 species